GAUGAAGAACGUAGCGAAAUGCGAUACUUGGUGUGAAUUACAGAAUCCCGUGAACCAUCGAGUCUUUGAACGCAAGUUGCGCCCGAAGCCAUCAGGUUGAGGGCACGUCUGCCUGGGCGUCACAUAUCGUUGCCCAAUGCCUAUUGCAGUGCAAUAGGAAUUUCUAGGGCGAAUGAUGGCUUCCCGUGAGCGUUGUUGCCUCGCGGUUGGUUGAAAAUCGAGUCCUUGGUAGGGUGUGCCAUGGUAGAUGGUGGUCGAGUUAGAACGAUACCGAUCAUGUGCAUGCUCCCCAAAAUAUGGCCUCUAUGACCCACACGCGUCUUUUGACGCUCAUGACGAGACCUCAGGUCAGGCGGGGCUACCCGCUGAAUUUAAGCAUAUCAAUAAGCGGAGGA
rnacentral:misc_RNA from 1 species